rnacentral:tRNA from 1 species
ACUUUUCUAGUAUAACCAGUACAGAUGACUUCCACUCAUCUAGCCUUGAAUAGCUCAAGGAAAAGUA